CACCACCUCUCUCUAUCUCAGCCUAUCUAUCCAUGUCUGUCUCACCACCUCUCUCUAUCUCAGCCUAUCUAUCCAUGUCUGUCUCACCACCUCUCUCUAUCUCAGCCUAUCUAUCCAUGUCUGUCUCACCACCUCUCUCUGCCUCAGGUUUGUUUUCAUAUGCUAUCCCUUCCUCUGCUCGUCUUUCAUCUCCUUUCCUCCUUCCAUGUCAAUCAAGGUGCUGUCGUAGCGUCUCUCCCCCUCUAUGCUCUCCGUAAUCAAUCAGCCAAUCCCUUCCUAUUGACGGCCCAGUGACAUUGAAAAUGACAGGUGACAGCCAUAUUGAUGACACACGAUACCACUAUAAAACCUAUACAGUACACAUAUAUCAAGUGGAACAUUUACUGACUAAAGUACCACAACACAAAUUUCCAGGGUAAUGUUAAACCGGUCGGAAUAUGGACGUGUGGUUGGAUGAGGGGUUCAUUACUGGUGUCAAUUUGUGAUAUUGUGUCAGAGACUGUGUUUUCCCAGUGAUUUAACAGGGUCAGUGCAGUCCUUCAGAUGAUCCAGGUAAGUACCUGGAAUGUAUUCUGCUGUCGAACAGAGUGGCUUAGACUGGUCUAGAGGGUGUGACUCUGUUUUAAUGAGAGGAUGAUGUAACCUGUCGGACCAUACAUUGGUAGGGUUGGGAACAUGGCAGGUUGAUAACAGGUUGCAUGUGUUACACAUGCUGUGUCUAUUGAAAUAUACCAGUCAAUAAUUGUCCUCAUUCUGCCUCUGGUGACGAGCUUUACAUCCCACAUGGUAUAAGGUAGAGGAGACGGGUUGGUUAUCACAAUGCUCAUAACUACUAAUCUGGAGCAUAGAAAUGGUAUUUUCCUAAUUUAAAUGUUUUGUGAUGUUGACAUGUGUGAACAACAUGGAUCUCUACUAAACUAAUCUCUAAUAAACACAUUUGUACAUCCAACUCAAUUCAGACCACUGUCCAGGUUUUUAGUUAUAAGCAUUGUGACAACCAACCUGUGUGACAACCAGCCCUGUCUCCUCUAGGCUUCCUCAUCCAGAAACUGAUGAGCUAUAGUAUCCCCAGGAGGCUCCUCACUGUGGGGUAAAGGUGAUUCAGGGGCAUAAGUAUUAGAGGCAGAUCUCCACCAUCGAUCGCAGGGAGCCGCGGUGCAGUGAAGGCUGUCGCCAACUUAACGAGACUGAAAAUUAAAAUUACGAUUCACCUCCAUCCGCACUGUCAGUCUCUCCCUUCCUCUCUUACACAAACAUAUUAUCACAGCAGUACACCAGGACAGACAGUCUCCAAAACACAAACAAAAUCAAAAAACUAAAACAUAGCCAUUCUUUCAUUAUUCAAGACACUGUGUACAAAAUGUUUGAAUCCAAAUACAUUUAAGUGAUAAUGCCCGAGAAGCUGGUGUUUGGAGGAUAUAUUGGCACAGGUGUUAGGCCCGAGACAAUGUCGAGUGCUGGCAAACCGUGCCAAUAUAUCAUCCAAACACCAACUUCAAGAGCAUUAUCUCUUUUAUACAACGUGUUACCAACGUAUUCAAAUAAUGAUUGACAUAUUUUCGUUAAGAACACUAUUUUGAUGAAUUUAGUCAUACUAUUUCAUCCUUCCUCAAAAUAGUCACGACACAAAUCUAGGGUUGCUACCCAAGCCGACUGGUCAUUCGUUCCAUCGGUUUGGUUGCCAGAGACGCGACCCAGUCGUUCAGUCUUUUCGUUCUCUAUCUAUGGACACGACCCAGUCGUUCAUUCUAAAUGUUCUAUUGCCAUACUGUCUGGCAGCGUUCUUAUCCCUUGCUUGCUAGCUAGCCAACUAUGGCUAACUUAGUCACGCCAAAAAGAAUCACGUGCAG
ensembl:lncRNA